UGGUAGUCCACGCUGUAAACGAUGUCGAUUUGAAGGUUGUUCCCUUGAGGAGUGGCUUUCGGAGCUAACGCGUUAAAUCGACCGCCUGGGGAGUACGGCCGCAAGGUUAAAACUCAAAUGAAUUGACGGGGGCCCGCACAAGCGGUGGAGCAUGUGGUUUAAUUCGAUGCAACGCGAAGAACCUUACCUACUCUUGACAUCCAGAGAAUUUAGCAGAGAUGCUUUAGUGCCUUCGGGAACUCUGAGACAAGUGCUGCAUGGCUGUCGUCAGCUCGUGUUGUGAAAUGUUGGGUUAAGUCCCGCAACGAGCGCAACCCUUAUCCUUUGUUGCCAGCGAUUCGGUCGGGAACUCAAAGGAGACUGCCGGUGAUAAACCGGAGGAAGGUGGGGAUGACGUCAAGUCAUCAUGGCCCUUACGAGUAGGGCUACACACGUGCUACAAUGGCGUAUACAAAGAGAAGCGACCUCGCGAGAGCAAGCGGAACUUAUAAAGUACGUCGUAGUCCGGAUUGGAGUCUGCAACUCGACUCCAUGAAGUCGGAAUCGCUAGUAAUCGUAGAUCAGAAUGCUACGGUGAAUACGUUCCCGGGCCUUGUACACACCGCCCGUCACACCAUGGGAGUGGGUUGCAAAAGAAGUAGGUAGCUUAACCUUCGGGAGGGCGCUUACACUUUGUGAUUCAUGACUGGGGUGAAGUCGUAACAAGGAGCCGUA
rnacentral:rRNA from 1 species